AGUGAACGCUGGCGGUAGGCCUAACACAUGCAAGUCGAACGGCAGCACAGUAAGAGCUUGCUCUUACGGGUGGCGAGUGGCGGACGGGUGAGGAAUACAUCGGAAUCUACUUUUUCGUGGGGGACAACGUAGGGAAACUUACGCUAAUACCGCAUACGACCUACGGGUGAAAGCAGGGGAUCUUCGGACCUUGCGCGAUUGAAUGAGCCGAUGUCGGAUUAGCUAGUUGGCGGGGUAAGGGCCCACCAAGGCGACGAUCCGUAGCUGGUCUGAGAGGAUGAUCAGCCACACUGGAACUGAGACACGGUCCAGACUCCUACGGGAGGCAGCAGUGGGGAAUAUUGGACAAUGGGCGCAAGCCUGAUCCAGCCAUACCGCGUGGGUGAAGAAGGCCUUCGGGUUGUAAAGCCCUUUUGUUGGGAAAGAAAAGCAGCAGGUUAAUACCCCGCUGUUCUGACGGUACCCAAAGAAUAAGCACCGGCUAACUUCGUG
rnacentral:rRNA from 1 species